CCCCUGGCCUUUCCUCCUGGGCCCACCUGCAGCGCAGCCCCCACCUCCCCCUGUGCAGCCCGAGCCCUUGGUGCAGUCCUCCCCACAGCAAAGGCCAUCUUCCGGAGAGGGAGCCUGAUUCGUGGCAGCAGCAGUGCUCACAGCGCCACAGCUCACGUUCGAUGCAUCUGACACUGUCCUCAGGCUCUGCCUGCUCUGCCUGCUCUGCCCACUGAUCCCUCUCGAAAGGAAAACACUGUCAUGAUUUUAGAGGAUGGCUGCCCCAGCUCCAGCCUCAUGUCCAUAUGCCACGCAGAAAGAUGAAGACAAAGAGAAGGAAGAUGCUCUGUUAUGAACGCAAAGAAUUUCCAGAAAUCCCUGACAGACCUUCCACAUAACCCAGAGCCAUGUCACCUGGCCACCCCUUAAUGCAAAGGGCUCUGGAAAGCGAAAAUCAUUGUCUAGUGGGAUUAUGGUCCUCACACCACGCUCUGUAUCCAACACGCACAUGAAAGGGUAUGCAUGCAGAAUUAAAGAGUGGGCAUGGCAAGGGAAUGGACUUUCCAGAACUGCAGGACCCUGGAGGCAAAGAUGGAGUUCAGGGAAGCCCAGGCACCAGCUCCACUGUCUCUUGGAGGUGACCUUGCUGAAGCUGGUUUGAAGAAACAGGAGAGCCCGCUGACAUCGCUAAGUCGCCUCUUCUCGACAAAAGCCAUUGAUCCCAAGCAAGCUCUUCCCGAAUAAGCCCAGAGGAUGGAGGCUCAAGGGCACAGCAAAGUUUGUGGACAGCGUUGGUUGGACCCUUCGCAAAUCCAGGGGGGUGUCCAGGGCUGUUCCCUGAGGAGGGUGCAUCUGCUUCCACCCUGGGGGGUGGGGCACCCUACUUCCCAUAAGCUUCCGUACCUUUGAUUAAAUAGCCAGAGGACUGAAUCUCAUUUAAUGAUGAGGGUUAUGUGUGAUCUCUUCCUACUAGAUGUUAAUCCAGCUGACACACAGGUGGCGUCAGACAUGAAACCGGCCCGACUGUGACAGCCACACAGGGGCCUGUGGCCAGGACAGGGACUGACCGGCCCAUGGCAUGAGGCUGGCUUGGCUGAAGGACUUGCACCAGUGAAUGUAUCUGGUUUCCCUGCAAGGCACCUUCAUGCUCAGUGAGUAAGAAAUCUGAGCUGAGGGUAGGGUAGCCUGCAGGUUAGGGGAACCCAUAAGCCUAUGAUAUGGGGACAGUUCAGGGGCCCAAAGGGGUCAAAUAGGUAAGGAAGUUCAGGUAUUCUUGCCAAAACAAAACAAAACAAACAACAACAGAGCCUGACUCCCAUCAAGCCUCUGCACUAACUUUUUUUACACUAGGAUAGACCUGUCCAGAUUCAGAUGGUGAGGACUUUGGACCUCAGUUUGAACGAAUCAGCGGUAAAAACCCAUUAUCCAGACAAGGGCAUAAAUGUGAACCUAGACUGGGUGCUGAUUGUGGUGGUUUAUACUGUGUCACCUGGGCUGAGCCGGAGCUAGAUUCCCCCAAGUGCCUUUCCUGGGGCAGUUCUGGGUGAGAGGAUGCCCAAAGUGGAAUUCUCACGAGACCUGGGAGGCAAGGCAAACGGCCACGACUCUCCCAAAAUUGUCAUGAUUCCUUG